AUUGAACGCUGGCGGCAGGCCUAACACAUGCAAGUCGAACGAGUGGCGGACGGGUGAGUAAUGUCUGGGCAACUGCCCGAUGGGGGGGGAUAACCACUGGAAACGGUAGAUAAUAACGCAAACCCUCGGAAUUGCCCAGGUGGGAAUAGCUUGUAGGUGGGGUAAUGGCUCACCGGGGCGACGAUCCCUAGCUGGUCUGAGAGGAUGACCAGCCACACUGGAACUGAGACACGGUCCAGACUCCUACGGGAGGCAGUAGUGGGGAAUAUUGCACAAUGGGCGCAGGCCUGAUGCAGCCAGGCCGCGUGUAUGAAGAAGGCCUUCGGGUUGUAAAGUACUUUCAGCGGGGAGGCGUUACUCGCAGAAGAAGCACCGGCUAACUCCGUGCCAGCAGCCGCGGUAAUAC
rnacentral:rRNA from 1 species